rnacentral:rRNA from 1 species
UACGUAGGGUGCGAGCGUUGUCCGGAAUUACUGGGCGUAAAGAGCUCGUAGGUGGUUUGUCGCGUUGUUCGUGAAAACCUGAGGCUUAACCUUGGGCGUGCGGGCGAUACGGGCAGACUGGAGUACUGCAGGGGAGACUGGAAUUCCUGGUGUAGCGGUGGAAUGCGCAGAUAUCAGGAAGAACACCCGUGGCGAAGGCGGCUCUCUGGGACGGUACUGACGCUGAGGAGCGAAAGCGUGGGGAGCGAACAGG